GGGGAAUUAGCUCAGUUGGUAGAGCGCUCGCUUUGCAUGCGAGAGGUACCGGGGGCGAUACCCGGAUUCUCCA
rnacentral:tRNA from 1 species